rnacentral:rRNA from 1 species
UACGAAGGGGGCUAGCGUUGCUCGGAAUCACUGGGCGUAAAGGGCGCGUAGGCGGACUUUUAAGUCGGAGGUGAAAGCCCAGGGCUCAACCCUGGAAUUGCCUUCGAUACUGGGAGUCUUGAGUUCGGAAGAGGUUGGUGGAACUGCGAGUGUAGAGGUGAAAUUCGUAGAUAUUCGCAAGAACACCGGUGGCGAAGGCGGCCAACUGGUCCGAAACUGACGCUGAGGAGCGAAAGCGUGGGGAGCGAACAGG